rnacentral:rRNA from 1 species
GAUGAACGCUGGCGGCGUGCCUAAUACAUGCAAGUCGAGCGAACAGAUGAGGAGCUUGCUCCUCUGACGUUAGCGGCGGACGGGUGAGUAACACGUGGAUAACCUACCUAUAAGACUGGGAUAACUUCGGGAAACCGGAGCUAAUACCGGAUAAUAUAUUGAACCGCAUGGUUCAAUAGUGAAAGACGGUUUUGCUGUCACUUAUAGAUGGAUCCGCGCCGCAUCAGCUAGUUGGUAAGGUAACGGCUUACCAAGGCAACGAUGCGUAGCCGACCUGAGAGGGUGAUCGGCCACACUGGAACUGAGACGCGGCCCAGACUCCUACGGGAGGCAGCAGUAGGGAAUCGUCCGCAAUGGGCGAAAGCCUGACGGAGCAACGCCGCGUGAGUGAUGAAGGUCUGCGGGUCGUAAAACGCUGUUAUGAGGGAAGAACAAAUUUGUAAGUAACUAUGCACGUCUUGACGGUACCUAAUCAGAAAGCCACGGCUAACUACGU